rnacentral:rRNA from 1 species
AUUGAACGCUGGCGGCAGGCCUAACACAUGCAAGUCGGGCGAUCCUGGUUUCGGCCAGGAGAGCGUCGACCGGGUGAGUAACACGUAGGAAUCUGCCUGGUAGUGGGGGACAACGUCCCGAAAGGGACGCUAAUACAGCAUCCGCCCUACGGGGAAAAGCAGGGGCUCUUCGGACCUGGCGCUAUCAGACGGCCCUGCGUCGGAUUAGCUAGUUGGUAGGGUAAAGGCCUACCAAGGCGACGAUCCGUAACUGGUCUGAGAGGAUGAUCAGUCACACCGGAACUGAGACACGGUCCGGACUCCUACGGGAGGCAGCAGUGGGGAAUAUUGGACAAUGGGGGCAACCCUGAUCCAGCCAUGCCGCGUGUGUGAAGAAGGCCUUCGGGUUGUAAAGCACUUUAGGUUGGAAGGAAGGUUCGCUGGCUAAUAUCCAGCGGAAUUGACGUUACCGACAGAAUAAGCACCGGCUAACUCCGUGCCAGCAGCCGCCGUAAGAC